CCAAAAUCUAUAUUUUUCUUCAACCAGAAAUAUCUUACAUGAUUUAUUUUUCUCAUAAUCACUCAUGACAGAAGUAUUUAAUCACUACGUAUCUUCCCAGACUCGUUUUUCUCCAGACUCUUCUCUCUGCAGUUAUUUUCUACUUCUGUCAUUGGGCAGAUGCCUUAUGCUUUUUCAAACACUCCUAUCCAAAAGCUCUCUCUAUUCUUUGGCUCAAUUUGCCUGCAAUUCCUUCACCAGGACAUUGACUCAUUGACUUGGGUUGCCUUUUAUUCACAUGGGUAUAUGAGCUCAUGGGCUUGAAGCCAAACAUACGUAUAUAUACAUGAAUUGGAAUUUUGCAUUACAUUAAACUGUGAAACAGAGAAAUUGGGCAAAAGCAGUAGCAAUUUUGCUUUUCAGAGAUUUAAUUUUGGGAUGUGAUGAUGCUUUUUUCUUUUUUUCUAGUUAUUUAAUAUGUAUUUUAAGGAAGCUUUUUUGCUAUCCUGUUUCACUUCCUAACAUGCAAUCUAGCCAAUUAAAUCAUGAGUCUGAAACUUCGAGGCCUGGAGUAAGUUCUUUACCGAGGGACUGGUUCACUGUUGUGUUGAGAACAGAUUCUGGAUGCCAUGGUGGAAGCAGGAAGACCAAUUUCAAAGAUAUUGGAAUAAUUCAGAAACCCCAGGCUCCACUGGCAGCAAAGCGGCAGAGAAGGAGAGAAGAGAAGAAGCACGUGAACAUGGAGAGGAGAGGCAGCAGCUGGACUUUGCAGACUACAGUCGGAAAGGAGUUCAGCCAGAAAUACUUGGAGAGAAAUUUGGCUGGACAGCAGAACUCCAGGGAAAGAGAAAGGUCACCUUCCUGCUCCAACCCCUUCCAAGUCUCCCUUCCCACUGAGAGCCACUUUUUUCAUCAAUAAAAUCCUCUGCGUUCACCACCCUCCGAUUUGUUUGUGUAACCUCAUUCUUCCUGGACGCUGGACAAGGACCCAGGUGCGGGUGCAAAAGGCUGUUACGCUGACCUUCCACUGAGCUGUUUACCACUUAAGCUGUCCAGAGAUGCCAAAGCUAAAAAACCGCACUGUAACACACACCUUCUGGGAUUCCGGGAUGUCAUGGGCAACCCUAGAUGCUGCCACCAUGGGCCCGCACAGAAUUCUGCUUCUUCCAGUUGCCCAGAAGUGCUCAUCCUGGUCUUUUCACCUGCUCUCCUUGAUGCUCCCCCUUCCAGAAGGGUUUGAGAGCUUUGAGCUGAGUAAGCAAAACCACCACUUUAAAAGUCCCGUGAAAGGGUCAAGAAAACUACUCAUUUCAGUAAGAAUGGAAGUUCACGGGACUAAACCUAACACAUAAUAAACACCAAAACAUGUCAAUCUUUGUCA
rnacentral:lncRNA from 13 species